rnacentral:lncRNA from 1 species
CAUCUUAUCUCUAAUUCGGAUCACAUUCAAAUUAGACAAGAGAUAAUAUUAUGACUCAUCAACUAUAGCCAACUACCCUUAGUGGAUCCUCUUUUAUGAUGUCAAAAAUCACAACCCAAAUCCAAUUAGGCAUGGAGAAAUUGGUAUGGAUCCAGAUGUGAUGCAAAAGAUAAGGAUAGAGUCUUAGUCUAACUUGGACUCUUCAUUUAUAAUUCAAUUCUAAUCCAAAUCAAAUUUAGAUUAAAACC